GCGAGUGUAGCUCAGUUGGUAGAGCAAACGACCGAUAAUCGUUAGGUCACAGGUUCGAGCCCUGUCAUUCGCACCA
rnacentral:tRNA from 1 species